rnacentral:ncRNA from 1 species
CGUAUUUAACCGCCAUACUAACUGGCGGACUUAUUUCGUUUGCGAAAUAAAUUAAUCAACACAGAACAUAGUAAACGAAAACUUGUUUGGUUUUCGAGAAGACUCUUUAUUCACCAUUAAAAGUCUAAUUAGAAUAUGAUUUUAAUACUUCAAGCAAAACAUCAUUAAGCCAAAAUAUUACAGUUCAUUAUCACAAAGGUUAGGAUAGGUUAAUUAUUGGCUUCUGCAAGUUAGAAUAAGAGUAAUAUUUAUAUAUACAGACGGGGGCAUUCGUACUGUGCCUACGGUAGAGGUGAAAGUCUUGGAUCGGCGCAAGACGAACGACCGCGAAAGUAUUUUCUAAGAAUGUGUUUCAUAAUCAAG